rnacentral:rRNA from 1 species
GACGAACCGUGCGAACGUUGUUCGGAUUCACUGGGCUUAAAGGGCGCGUAGGCGGUCGACCAAGUCUGGGGUGAAAUCUUUCGGCUUAACCGGAAAAGUGCCCCCGAUACUGGCCGGCUAGAGGGAGAUAGGGGCAUGUGGAACUUCCGGUGGAGCGGUGAAAUGCGUAGAUAUCGUUUGGAACGCCAAUGGUGAAAACAGCUCGCUGGGGACGUACCGACGCUGAGACACGAAAGCCAGGGGAGCGAACGGG